GCGUAGUUUAUAUUUAUAUUAAUUAAAUCUCAACCAUAAAUGUUAGAAACGUACAAUUUUUCCAGUACAAAGCCACCUUGAACUAUAGUGUAGGCUACGGCUUGUGUAUUUCCUGUUAUCGCUAAUGGCCAAGAAAAGAUUAUGCCCGAUCUAUAGAUAAUCUGUCUUUCCCUCAACACCUCAUGGCAUGGCAUGUUAUCUUAUCUCGCUGUAUACAGAUCUAAAUGUUGUUAGCCAAUCACAGACUGUGUUGUUACCAGUUCCACAUCAGACAACCAAUAAGAGUUGUGGCCAUGGCUUUCAGAGGAGUUAAUAGUUGCUAAUCAGACUCCUUGGGAUGUCCCUUCAGUCGAAUAGAACAGUUCAUAGACUUUCCCAGAGGGUCCGUGCUAUACGGGAUCUUUAGGAUGUCCAUACCUCUAUCAAGUAUAAACGUAAAUUGGUUAUGUUUAGUGUUAGUUUAGGGUAAGGACGCCCCAAGGAAUCCGGAAUGCAGUGACCGUUCAUAGAGUGAGAGACUGGCACGGUAUUUGAGAGCUCGGCGGUGACACGACAUUUAUUUGUUUUUUACAAGCGGCAGUAGUGAGUGUCUGCCCCAGAUCUUUUCUCGAAUAAGGAAACUAAUUACCAAGAUGUCCUUGAUCCAAUUGAGGAUCAAGAUGGGAUGAGACAGAGUAACCAAUCAGCUUCACUGCAGAUGUUCAACCCACCACCCCCACUGCCCUCCCUCCAUAAGUAACCACAUCCUCUUCUCCUGUUCAACCUCUUUGCCACCACACAAAAAAUGACUGUACAUAUGCCCCUGUGCCAUCUCAGUGUAACAUGAUCCAUCCAAGGCCUCAGCUGGAUGCCUAAAAUGUGAGAAAUGUGCCUGAGAGCUGUGACUGCGCCAAGGGCUAAAAUAUUGUGUGUUGUUUCUUCGUAUGCAGGUAUGUCUUUUAUUUUGUCCGAAUUAUGUUCUGUAUCAUUUUACUUGUAUUGUAUGCUGUUGUGCACUGAAUGUGUGCACGCAGCACCUGUUAAUUCUUUUUGACGCUCUCUUUUGCCUGACCUUCAGCUAGCAAGUUGCCUGAGAGCUGUGACUGCGCCAAGGGCUAAAAUAUUGUGUGUUGUUUCUUCGUGUGCGGGGCAAAUAAAAAUUAUUCAACCAGCAGACCUCCAGUUGUGGCAGUGUCCUAAUUAAAAAGUACACAACGCAGAACGAACCACGCUACACCAACAUACAGACUCUGGACACCUAAAUAAAUGGACUUAACAAAGCCAUUGUCACGACUUCCACCGACGAUGGCUCCUCUCCCUGUUCGGGUGGUGCUCGGCGGUCGUCAUCGCCGGUCUACUAGCUGCCACUGAUCCUUUUUUAUUUUUCGUUUGGUCUUGUCUGUUUUGAUUGUGCACCUGUGCCUUGUUUAGGUUGUUUCGUUUGGGUAUUUAUUUCCGCCCUACCCGCUUUGUUUUGUUUUCCCUGUUUGUAUGUUUGGGUGACGUUAUUUGUGUUCACUGUGUCAUUCAGGUGUUUUCCCUAGACUUUGUUCUAGUGGUGUUUUUUGGACUGUGUUAUGGUCCUGUGCCUGUAUGUUUUGGAUGGACUUUAUUAAAAACCCUUUCUACAAAUGUACUCCUCUCCUGCGCCUGACUCCUACACCCAUCUCUCGUAGAGUCGUGACAGCCAUCGCUCAUCCAUAUAUUUAUAUGACCAACAAAAAAGACAUGCUUGGGUCUCCUGAGUGGUGCAGCGGACUAAGGCACUGCAUCUCAG
rnacentral:lncRNA from 1 species